GAUGAACGCUAGCGGCAGGCCUAACACAUGCAAGUCGAGGGGUAACUAGAGUGAUAGCAAUAUUACUUUGGCUAGACCGGCGCACGGGUGCGUAACACGUAUGCAACCUACCUUAUACUGGGGAAUAACUUCGAGAAAUCGGCGCUAAUACCCCAUAACAUUGCGAAGAGGCAUCUCUUUGCAAUUAAAGCUCCGGCGGUAUAAGAUGGGCACGCGUCCAAUUAGCUAGUUGGUGAGGUAACGGCUCACCAAGGCUACGAUUGGUAGGGGUUCUGAGAGGAUAAUCCCCCACACUGGUACUGAGACACGGACCAGACUCCUACGGGAGGCAGCAGGGAGGAAUAUUGCGCAAUGGACGAAAGUCUGACGCAGCCAUGCCGCGUGCAGGAUGACGGCCCUAUGGGUUGUAAACUGCUUUUGUACGGGAAUAAACCCUUCUACGUGUAGGAGGCUGAAGGUACCGUAAGAAUAAGCACCGGCUAACUCCGUGCCAGCCGCCGCGGUAA
rnacentral:rRNA from 1 species